CAGGGUGUAGCUCAGUGGUAAAGCACAUGCUUAACAUACAUGAAGCCCUAGGUUCCAUCCUCAGCACCCAAA
rnacentral:tRNA from 1 species